AGUCGUAACAAGGUUUCCGUAGGUGAACCUGCGGAAGGAUCAUUACCAGUGCCGCCGGCGCCGCCUCUGGGCGCGCGCCGGUCAGAGCCCCACCCGUGAACACUGAACCUCACGUUGCCUUGGCGGGCCCGCCGCGCGCAAGCGUGGCCGCCGGGGGUGGCCUCCGGGCGCCCCGGGCCCGUGCCCGCCAAUGGACCCCAUGUGAACUUCUGAUCGAACGAGACUGUCUGAGUAUUUUGUCAAAUAAACAAAACUUUCAACAACGGAUCUCUUGGUUCCGGCAUCGAUGAAGAACGCAGCGAAAUGCGAUAAGUAAUGUGAAUUGCAGAAUUCCGUGAAUCAUCGAAUCUUUGAACGCACAUUGCGCCCUCUGGUAUUCCGGGGGGCAUGCCUGUCCGAGCGUCAUUGCAACCCUCAAGCGCGGCUUGUGUGUUGGGCCCCAUUGUCCCCGCGCUGGCGGGGACAGGCCCGGAAAGCAGUGGCGGCGUUCCGACGUAGGCGCCUGAGUGAAUGGGAUCAAACUGUCCGCUCGAGAGGCCCCGUCGGCGCUGGCCGACAACAAUCAACCUCCUUUGGUUGACCUCGGAUCAGGUAGGGAUACCCGCUGAACUUAAGCAUAUCAAUAAGCGGAGGAA
rnacentral:misc_RNA from 1 species